rnacentral:rRNA from 1 species
ACCAGACUCCUACGGGAGGCAGCAGUGGGGAAUAUUGCACAAUGGGGGAAACCCUGAUGCAGCAACGCCGCGUGAGUGAAGAAGUAUUUCGGUAUGUAAAGCUCUAUCAGCAGGGAAGAAGAUGACGGUACCUGACUAAGAAGCCCCGGCUAACUACGUGCCAGCAGCCGCGGUAAUACGUAGGGGGCAAGCGUUAUCCGGAUUUACUGGGUGUAAAGGGAGCGUAGACGGCCAUGCAAGCCAGGGGUGAAAGCCCGGGGCCCAACCCCGGGACUGCCCUUGGAACUGUGCGGCUAGAGUGCGGGAGGGGCAGGCGGAAUUCCUGGUGUAGCGGUGAAAUGCGUAGAUAUCAGGAGGAACACCGGCGGCGAAGGCGGCCUGCUGGACCGCGACUGACGUUGAGGCUCGAAAGCGUGGGGAGCGAACAGGAUUAGAUACCCCCGUAGAG